GCAACACUUGGCUAAAACUGAAAGAAGACAAACAGGCAAACAAUAGAACACAUGACACAACAUAGAAAACUAAAGAAUAAGCAACACGAACCCCACCAAAAACUAGGGGUGAUCUCGGAUGCUCCGGAAGGGUAAGCAGAUCCUGCUCCACAUGUGGCACCCAUCGUGUUGCUUAUGUUAUAAAAAAUCCGGUAAACAGUAUAAUUCGGUAGGUCACAUUCAUGAAAGGGAAGGGUGGUAGUAGUUACGACGUAAGGAACAUAUCCGAUAUCAUUUGUGAAACGGUUAUUCCAUAACGGUCAACCAACUCGUGAUGGCGUCCGUAAAAUUUACGAAAAGAUGAUUUCAACUAAAUAAAUUACCACUUAAUCAAUAGUUGGAGCACUGAGAUAACUUGCAUUAGUCUAGUAAAAACUGGCAAGAUCAAACUAA
rnacentral:lncRNA from 1 species